AGGGUCUGGUCCUUAAAUGUUACUUACACCCCCAUAGCUUGAAACAAUAUAUAUUGUAAUAACCUUAGCUGGAGUGAUUUCUUACUGCUUUUGAUUGGAUAAUAAAGAAAAACUCUCCAUGAGAAUAUCUGGCAGACGUUUCUCUUGGUGAGGUAGAUGUUAAGAGAGAGAGAGAGAUUUUCCCUCUCUCCCUAUCCCAAAUAUCUGUCUUUAUUUUUUGGCCAAUGCUUUGACUCAUGUUGGCAGAGGUGACCCAAAUAAAUGCACUAACACUAGUCAUUUAGGGGGUUAGGGGUUGGGUUAGGAUAAAAAAAAAAAACGUAAUGUACAAGACCCAAGUGUGCUAGUUUCCCUUAUAACGUAGUGUUCCUCCAUCCUUACUUUCUUUUUUUUCUCUUUUACACUGACCCCCCACCCCUUAUCCUUCUUGUUCAUGACAUGGGUGUGCAAUGAUUUGCUUUUGGGGGAUAAAACCCACAGUUUGGGAGUGGAGAGGGAUAUUACAGAGCAGGAUGGCCUGGAGUAAGGUACCUCUGCUCUUGCAUGGAUUUCUCCUGCUGGUUCUGUGUAAACCCUGCCUUCAAGGAGGAAUCUAUAUACCAGCUGGUGCAGGGGGAGGAACUGGAGCUGGAUUAGGGGGUGGUCUUGGAACUGGAGCUGGACUUGGUGCUGGAACAGGUCCAGGAGGUGGAUUUGGUGCUGGUAUCAGAAGUGUUGGGCCAGGAGUUAGUUCUGGAGGAGUUGGAACAAGAUUAGGUCCAGGUGCUGGUCCUGGUGGUCUUGGAAUAGGACCAGGAACUGGCAUAAGACCUGGAACUGGAAAGACAGGAGGUUAUGAAGGUGGUGGUCCUGGGGGGCAAGGUAUUAGACUGGGUGAUGGAGGCCUUGGAGGAGUUUGGCCUGGUGCUGGAGGUCUUGGAGGAAUUGGACCUGGUGGUGGAGGGCUUGGUACAGGGGGACUUGGUACUGGUGGAUUAGGCACCGGAGGCCUUGGAACAGGGUCAAUCAUCAAGCCACCAAAAACAGGAGGAUAUGGAGGUCUACCAGGAAUUGGACCAGGUGGUACAGGUGUUGGUCCUGGAUCACUUGCACCUGGAGGAGUUGGUCCUUUUGGCAUUGGUCCAGGAGGCAUUGGACCGGGAGGAAUAGGACCUGGUGGCAUUGGACCAGGAAGUGUCGGUCCUGGAGGGAUUGGUGCUGGAGGCCUUGGAGCAGGUGCUGGUGGCAAACCUCCUAAACUAGGUUAUGGGGGUAUUCCAGGCACUCUUGGAACUGGAGGUCUUGGUGGUAGUGGUGGUCUUGGUGGCUUUGGAGGUUUAGUACCUGGUGGCUUUGGUGUUGGUCCUGGAGCUAGUGGCAUUGGCACAAGGGGACCUGGACAAGGUUUGGGCACUGGUGUGGGAGGGUUUGGCCCUGAUGCAGUUGGUCCAGUAGGUGCUGGAAGAGGUUAUGGUGGGUCUUGGGGUUUUGGUGGUGGACCAUUUGGAACAGGAAGUCUUGGAGCAGGUGCUUUUCCUCUUACACCUGGAGGUGCUGGAACAGGCUACCCAUCAGGUGGUAGCUAUAGUGGAUUUGGUGGGCCUGGAGGUCUUUAUCCUGGAGCUGGAACAACUGGUCAGAAACCGCCAAAACCAGGAAUUGGACCUGGAGGUGCAGGAACUGGUCCAGGUGGCACAGGACUUGGACCUGGUGGCGUGGGAGUUCUGCCUGGAGGUGUAGGAAUUGGACCAGGUGGCACAGGAAUUGGACCAGGUGGAGCUGGAGUUGGGCCUGGAGGUGUAGGAAUUGGAACUGGCGGUACUGGAACUGGAAUUGUAGGAGCAGGAGUUGCGCCUGGUGGAGGUUUACCAGGAAUUGGGACAGGCACUGGGGGCAAAGUCGGAAAGACUGGGAAGGCACCAGUGCCAGGUGUUGGGAUUCCUGGGCUAUACCAAGGGGGUAUAGUUCCUGGACAAGGUUUUGGCGGUAGAGGCAUUCUGCCAGGUGUAGCAACGGGAUCUCAAACUGGUAAGCUUUAUGUGGUUUAUAGUUUUAUAAUUGAUAGCUUUAUCCAGCAAUUAAAAUGUUUUCUGAAGCUUUGUCUUCUAUUUUAUUGUUUAUAG
ensembl:lncRNA